AAAAAGUAGUCAACAAUAGGCCAAGACUUGUGGUGUUUUCUUACAGAAGUCUGCUCACACACCAGUUGACCAGGGUCUUAAAAGAAUCCUUAUCUACUUCGACCAGAGAAAUUCCAACCCAAGGGAACUUGGAAUUUAUGGAUUUUGAAGGCAACAAGACCUAAGAGUCUGGCUUAUCAACAUAAUGUGCCCAGCAUCACCCACAUGGAGGCUUUAGUUAUAAUCCUCGUGCACUGGUUUGGACCCUGGAAUUCGUUUGAAGAGAUGUAGAUCAUCAGCUGAGUGCCAUGUGCCAACCGUGAGACCCAGACUGAUGUUGGACAUGUUUGUAGUUUUGGGGAAGUUCAGACCCUCACUACAUUUUUCUUCGUGCCAUCCUGAAACCAUCUGUCUGUUUUUCGUUUCAUGGCGUCUUCUACCUUCAGUGGCCAGCUCUUGCCAGGAAUGGAUUUUUCUGAAGUAUCAAGAGGUCACAAAUAACAAGAACAUCUGGAAAGGGCCAGAGAGAACACAUCAUGUCAUCCCUGUCAUCCUUGUCAAGGCUGUCUCUUGCGCGCGCCGGACUGGCCAGCAGUAACGACGCUGCAACAGGAUCCUUCUGCACACGUUUAUUGGGAGAGCUUGAUUGCAGAGGCGAAGAGACCCCGAGCCCAGAACUGAUGGUGCUGCAGCUCUUUCCCCCAUUGCUUAAUAUCUUGAUGGCAUUUUAAAGACCAUGGGUUCUGAAUCAACCUGUUGCCGUUUUAUCCAAGAUUCUUCACCAAAAGUCCUCUAUCCUUGCUGGACCGUGGUGCCCACUGACCAUGAAUGAAAUUCUUCUCCCUCGCCACCAACGUGCUCCCAUUCACCUGGGACCCAGCAGCAUGUCUACAGCCACCUCUGUUCAUGACUUCCCCAUCCUCUUGACACAUUACCAUCACCUGAGAAAUACCGAGCAGCAAAGAACUUCUGCAAUGCCAACCAAACUAUCACAGUUGUUCAUAUCCCUGCUUCUCCUGCUGUGUCCGCAGCUCUUUUUGACCAUUCCUACAGGCCAAGAACCUGGAAACACCUGGCCCAGAUCCUGACUGCUAUCAACACACCAACUUUGUCCAGCUUGAAAACAAAGCAGAACAAAACAAGACAAAGGCAAAGAC
rnacentral:lncRNA from 1 species